rnacentral:rRNA from 1 species
UCGGGAAUUUUGGGCAAUGGGCGAAAGCCUGACCUAGCAACGCCGCGUGAGGGAUGAAGUAUUUCGGUAUGUAAACCUCGAAAGAAUGGGAAGAAUAAAUGACGGUACCAUUUAUAAGCUCCGGCUAACUACGUGCCAGCAGCCGCGGUAAUACGUAGGGAGCAAGCGUUGUUCGGAUUUACUGGGCGUAAAGGGCGCGUAGGCGGCGCGGUAAGUCACUUGUGAAAUCUCUGAGCUUAACUCAGAACGGCCAAGUGAUACUGCUGUGCUAGAGUGCGGAAGAGGCAACCGGAAUUCUUGGUGUAGCGGUGAAAUGCGUAGAUAUCAAGAGGAACACCUGAGGCGAAGGCGGGUUGCUGGGCUGACACUGACGCUGAUGCGCGAAAGCCAGGGGAGCAAACG